CCUACGGGGGGCAGCAGUGAGGAAUAUUGGUCAAUGGGAGAGAUCCUGAACCAGCCAAGCCGCGUGAGGGAAGACGGCCCUAUGGGUUGUAAACCUCUUUUGUCGGAGAACAAAACCCGGGACGUGUCCCGGACUGCGUGUAUCCGAAGAAAAAGCAUCGGCUAACUCCGUGCCAGCAGCCGCGGUAAUACGGAGGAUGCGAGCGUUAUCCGGAUUUAUUGGGGUUAAAGGGUGCGUAGGCGGUCCGUUAAGUCAGCGGGAAAAUUGCGGGGCUCAACCCCGUCGAGCCGUUGAAACUGGCAGACUUGAGUUGGCGAGAAGUACGCGGAAUGCGCGGUGUAGCGGUGAAAUGCAUAGAUAUCGCGCAGAACUCCGAUUGCGAAGGCAGCGUACCGGCGCCAGACUGACGCUGAGGCACGAAAGCGUGGGGAUCGAACAGGAUUAGAUACCCCUGUAGUC
rnacentral:rRNA from 1 species